rnacentral:rRNA from 1 species
GACGAACGCUGGCGGCGCGCUUAACACAUGCCAGUCGAACGGAAGGCCUGCUUUCCCUUGUGGAUUGCGGGUACUCGAGUGGCGAACGGGUGAGUAACACGUGCGUGCUCUGCCCCCAACUUGGGUAUAAGACUGGGAAACUGGGUCUAAUUCCCGUUAGGACUGCCGGGUGGCGACUGUGGUUGACAACGUUUCUCUAGUGGAUGGGUAUGAGCUCGCGGCCUAUCCGCUUGUUGGUGGGGUAAUGGUCCCCCAAGGAGGCGACGGGUAGCCGGCCUGAGAGGGGGGACGGUGACAUUGGGACUGAGACACGGCACAGACGCCCACGGGAGGCAGCAGGGGGGAAGAAUGGACAAGGGGCGGAAGGCUGAAGCAGCGACGCCGAGGGGGGGAUGACGGCCUUCGGGUUGUAAACUCCUUUCGACCGCGAGGAAGCCACGUGGUUGGAAGGGUGGUGACGGUAGUGGUAGAAGAAGCACCGGCUAACUACGUG